AGCGAACGCUAGCGGCAGGCUUAACACAUGCAAGUCGAACGAAGUUCUUCGGAACUUAGUGGCGAACGGGUGAGUAACACGUAGGUAAUGUACCCUUUGGUGGAGGAUAACUCAGGGAAACCUGAGCUAAUACUGCAUAUGUCCUUCGGGAUAAAAGUCUUCGGACGCCUUAGGAGCAGCCUGCGGCCCAUUAUCUAAUCCUAGUUGGUAGGGUAACGGCCUACCAAGGGUACGAUGGGUAGCUGGUCUGAGAGGAUGAUCAGCCACACUGGGACUGAGACACGGCCCAGACUCCUACGGGAGGCAGCAGUGGGGAGUAUUGCGCAAUGGGGGAAACCCUGACGCAGCCAUGCCGCGUGUGUGAUGAAGGCCCUCGGGUCGUAAAGCACUGUCGGGAGGGACGAAGAUCUGACGGUACCUCGCAAGAAAGCACCGGCUAACUCCGUG
rnacentral:rRNA from 1 species